AAUCAACGCUGGCGGCGUGCCUAACACAUGCAAGUCGAACGCGAAAGUCCCGCAAGGGAUGAGUAGAGUGGCAAACGGGUGAGUAACACGUGGGUGACCUGCCUUAGAGUGGGGAUAACGUCCCGAAAGGGACGCUAAUACCGCAUAACAUCCUGCCUUUGAAGAGGUGGAGAUCAAAGCUGGGGACCGCAAGGCCUAGCGCUCAAAGAGGGGCCCGCGCCUGAUUAGCUAGUUGGUGAGGUAACGGCUCACCAAGGCUACGAUCAGUAUCCGGCCUGAGAGGGCGGACGGACACACUGGGACUGAGACACGGCCCAGACUCCUACGGGAGGCAGCAGUGGGGAAUUGUUCGCAAUGGGCGCAAGCCUGACGACGCAACGCCGCGUGGAGGAUGAAGACC
rnacentral:rRNA from 1 species